rnacentral:rRNA from 1 species
GACGAACGCUGGCGGCGUGCUUAACACAUGCAAGUCGAACGGAAAGGCCCUGCUUUUGUGGGGUGCUCGAGUGGCGAACGGGUGAGUAUCACGUGAGUAACCUGCCCUUGUCUUUGGGAUAUCUUCAGGAAACUGGGGCUAAUACCGGAUAGAAGCUCCUGCUGCAUGUUGGGGGUUGGAAAGUUUCGGCGGUUGGGGAUGGACUCGCGGCUUAUCCGCUUGUUUGUGUGGUAGUGGCUUACCAAGCCUAUGACGGGUAGCCGGCCUGAGAGGGUUACCGGCGACAUGAGGACUGAGAGAGGGCCCAGACGCCUACGGGAGGCAGCAGUGGGGAAUAUUGCACAGUGGGCGGACGCCUGAUGCAGCAACGCCGCGUGCGGGAUGACGUCCUUCGGGUUGUAAACCGCUUUCGCAGGUGACGAAGCGUGAGUGACGGUAAUGGGUAAAGAAGCACCGGCUAACUACGUG